AUGACAGAGGUCAAACAUUUUCUGUAUGUCUUCACAAGGUUUUCACACACUGUUGCUGGUAUUUUGGCCCAUUCCUCCAUGCAGAUCUCCUCUAGAGCAGUGAUGUUUUGGGGCUGUUGCUGGGCAACACGGACUUUCAACUCCCUCCAAAGAUUUUCAAUGGGGUUGAGAUCUGGAGACUGGCUAGGCCACUCCGGGACCUUGAAAUGCUUCUUACGAAGCCACUCCUUCGUUGCCCGGGCGGUGUGUUUGGGAUCAUUGUCAUGCUGGAAGACCCAGCCACGUUUCAUCUUCAAUGCCCUUGCUGAUGGAAGGAGGUUUUCACUCAAAUUCUCACAAUACAUGGCCCCAUUCAUUCUUUCCUUUACACGGAUCAGUCGUCCUGGUCCCUUUGCAGAAAAACAGCCCCAAAGCAUGAUGUUUCCACCCCCAUGCUUCACAGUAGGUAUGGUGUUCUUUGGAUGCAACUCAGCAUUCUUUGUCCUCCAAACACGACGAGUUGCGUUUUUACCAAAAAGUUAUAUUUUGGUUUCAUCUGACCAUAUGACAUUCUCCCAAUCUUCUUCUGGAUCAUCCAAAUGCUCUCUAGCAAACUUCAGACGGGCCUGGACAUGUACUGGCUUAAGCAGGGGGACUCGUCUGGCACUGCAGGAUUUGAGUCCCUGGCGGCGUAGUGUGUUACUGAUGGUAGGCUUUGUUACUUUGGUCCCAGCUCUCUGCUGGUCAUUCACUAGGUCCCCUCGUGUGGUUCUGGGAUUUUUGCUCACCGUUCUUGUGAUCAUUUUGACCCCACGGGGUGAGAUCUUGCGUGGAGCCCCAGAUCGAGGGAGAUUAUCAGUGGUCUUGUAUGUCUUCCAUUUCCUAAUAAUUGCUCCCACAGUUGAUUUCUUCAAACCAAGCUGCUUACCUAUUGCAGAUUCAGUCUUCCCAGCCUGGUGCAGGUCUACAAUGUUGUUUCUGGUGUCCUUUGACAGCUCUUUGGUCUUGGCCAUAGUGGAGUUCGGAGUGUGA
rnacentral:lncRNA from 13 species